GAUGAACGCUGGCGGCGUGCCUAAUACAUGCAAGUCGAGCGAACGGACGAGAAGCUUGCUUCUCUGAUGUUAGCGGCGGACGGGUGAGUAACACGUGGAUAACCUACCUAUAAGACUGGGAUAACUUCGGGAAACCGGAGCUAAUACCGGAUAAUAUUGUGAACCGCAUGGUUCAAAAGUGAAAGACGGUCUUGCUGUCACUUAUAGAUGGAUCCGCGCUGCAUUAGCUAGUUGGUAAGGUAACGGCUUACCAAGGCAACGAUGCAUAGCCGACCUGAGAGGGUGAUCGGCCACACUGGAACUGAGACACGGUCCAGACUCCUACGGGAGGCAGCAGUAGGGAAUCUUGCGCAAUGGGCGAAAGCCUGACGGAGCAACGCCGCGUGAGUGAUGAAGGUCUUCGGAUCGUAAAACUCUGUUAUUAGGGAAGAACAUAUGUGUAAGUAACUGUGCACAUCUUGACGGUACCUAAUCAGAAAGCCACGGCUAACUACGUG
rnacentral:rRNA from 1 species